AUGGGAGCUGGGGCUAUCGGAAUGAAUAAACAAGGAAAAGUUGAACCACUCAAGCAGUGUGGAAGAAAUCCUGUUUCUUCUAAAGAAAUUUCUCAAGAGAAACUGGUUGUCUGCAGUCUUCAAAGAAAUGUUGUCCAAAAGGAGAGUAUAAAGGCAAAGACUAGAAGAUCACUUACCUCCUCUAAACUACCUGAGAAGGUCUCUAUCUCAACUGAACUAAUGAGCAACAAAUUUUUCCUUGAGACAGAACUGCAGAAAAAACAUAAAGAUUCUCAAGAAAUGGACAGUGUCUGCAACAAUCAGAGUUUGGUUUUGCCUAUGAUUACAAAAUCUUCAUUGUUACAGGAUAUAGCCAAAAGACAGAAAUCUGUUUCUGCAUGGUACUGGGGACUUGAAGGUUUCUUUGUAGGUGUAAACCCUAAACAAGUAGUGCUUGAAGCAUGUUCUUCAUUGUGUGCUGACUCUAUCCCUGUGGACUGUAGUAUCUCAUUUCCAGGAGAUGGAAAGUGGUUUAUUGAAAGGAGCUUAAGUGAAUACGCUGAUGACUCUGUAGUUCAAGGUGUCUUAGAAAGUCAGUUGAAUAGACCUUCCAGUGGUUUGGAUGCUCAAGGUAGAAUCUCAACCCUAAUGGCAGUGUGGCAGCCCUACCCAGGGAAUGACUCUAGAGGACCUUGGUCAACAAAUAUGUCACACUGUAAACUGACUGGAAAUUGUCCAACCAGCACUCAACCAACACUGAAGAGUUCACCUGUGCAUACCUUGAGAGUUAAUACUGAGAUACCAAAACACAAGUGCAAUGAUGUAACUGAACAAGAUGAUUAUCUUUGGGAAUACGAUGCUGACCAAGUAGCCCUACUUACUCUGGAAAAAGAAUUACGAAGUUAUAGAGGUCCUGAAAAACAUUACUGCUUAACUUCUGAAGAUGUAACUUCCUCCAUCAGAGACUUGCAGAUUGGCAGAAAUACUACAGAUUUCCCUAAAAACCUGGAGCUAAUAGACCACAUCGGACUUGAUACUUUCAGGGGCUGGGAUGACCAAAUGGAUGAUGAGGAAGAAAUUCUGGAGGAUAAGCAACAGGUUCUUGCAUUACAGUGAACAUGCAAUAAACUUAAUGCAGUUUCUAUCUUUGUAUAUCA
rnacentral:lncRNA from 14 species